AGCGAACGCUGGCGGCAGGCCUAACACAUGCAAGUCGAACGCCCAGCAAUGGGAGUGGCAGACGGGAUAGUAACACGUGGGAACGCGCCCUUCGGUUCGGAAUAACUCAGGGAAACUUGAGCUAAUACCGGAUACGCCCUUACGGGAAAGGAUUAUUGCCGAAGGAACGGCCCGCGUCGGAUUAGCUAGUUGGUGAGGUAAUGGCUCACCAAGGCGACGAUCCGUAGCUGGUCUGAGAGGAUGACCAGCAUCACUGGGAC
rnacentral:rRNA from 1 species